GAUGAACGCUGGCGGCUUUCCUCCUCCCUUCACUUCGCGCGCACCGAUGCGGAGCUUUCUCCUCUGACGUUAGCGGCGGACGGGUGAGUAACACGUGGAUCCCCUCCCUAUAAGACUGGGAUAACUUCUUGAAACCGGAGCUAAUACCGUAUCAUAUAUUGAACCGCAUGGUUCAAUAGUGAAAGCCGGUUUUGCUUUCACUUAUAGAUGGAUCCGCGCCGCAUUAGCUAGUUGGUAAGGUAACGGCUUCCCAAGGCAACGAUGCGUAGCCGACCUGAGAGGGUGAUAGGCCACACUGGAACUGAGACACGGUCCAGACUCAGACGGGAGGCAGCAGUAGGGAAUCGUCCGCAAUGGGCGAAGGCUUGACGGAGCAACGCCGCGUGAGUGAUGAAGGUCUUCGGAUCGUAAAAAGCGGGGAUGAGGGAAGAACAAAUGUGGAAGGAACUAGGCACGUCUUGACGGGACCGAAUCAGAAAGCCAAGGAGAAAUACGGG
rnacentral:rRNA from 1 species